UGCCGGAGGUCACUGCUAUUGGGAUUCGACUAAGCCAUGCGAGUCGCGAGGGUUCGGCCCUCGGCUGACGGCUCAGUAACACGCGGAUAAUCUGCCCUUAGGUGGAGGAUAACCUCGGGAAACUGAGAAUAAGACCCCAUAGAUCUAGGAGGCUGGAAUGCACUUAGAUCAAAAACUUCGGUGCCUAAGGAUGAGUCUGCGGACUAUCAGGUAGUAGUCAGGGUAAUGACCUGACCAGCCUACGACGGAUACGGGUUGUGAGAGCAAUAACCCGGAGAUGAUAUCUGAGACACGAUAUCAGGCCCUACGGGGCGCAGCAGGCGCGAAAACUUCAUACUGUGCGAAAGCACGAUGAGGGAAUCCCAAGUGCUGGCUCGUAAGAGUCAGCUGUUUUUCUGUCUAGAAAACAGAGAGAGUAAGAGCUGGGUAAGACGGGUGCCAGCCGCCGCGGUAAUACCUGCAGCUCAAGUGGUGGCCGCUAUUAUUGGGCCUAAAACGUUCGUAGCCGGUCUAGUAAAUGCCUGGGUAAAUCGUACGGCUUAACCGUACGAAUUCCGGGUAGACUGCUGGACUUGGGACUGGGAGAGGCUAGAGGUACUCCUGGGGUAGAGGUGAAAUUCUGUAAUCCUAGGGGGACGACCAGUGGCGAAGGCGUCUAGCUAGAACAGGUCUGACGGUGAGGAACGAAGCCCUGGGGCGCAAACGGGAUUAGAUACCCCGGUAGUCCAGGGUGUAAACGCUGCUUGCUUGAUGUUAGUCGGGCUCCGAGCCCGAUUAGUGUCGGAGAGAAGUUGUUAAGCAAGCUGCCUGGGGAGUACGGCCGCAAGACUGAAACUUAAAGGAAUUGGCGGGGGAGCACCGCAACGGGUGGAGCGUGCGGUUUAAUUGGAGUCAACGCCGGAA
rnacentral:rRNA from 1 species